rnacentral:rRNA from 1 species
GUGGGGAAUAUUGGACAAUGGGCGCAAGCCUGAUCCAGCCAUGCCGCGUGAGUGAUGAAGGCCUUCGGGUUGUAAAGUUCUUUAGCCGAUGAUUAUAAUGACUGUAGUCGGAAAAUAAGCCCCGGCUAACUUCGUGCCAGCAGCCGCGGUAAUACGAAGGGGGCGAGCGUUAUUCGGAAUCACUGGGCGUAAAGCGUGCGUAGGCGGUUUUGUAAGUUAGGAGUGAAAGCCCAGGGCUCAACCUUGGAAUUGCUCUUAAAACUGCAAGGCUCGAAUCUCGGAGAGGAUAGCGGAAUUUCCAGUGUAGCAGUGAAAUGCGUAGAUAUUGGAAGGAACACCAGUGGCGUAAGCGGCUAUCUGGACGAGUAUUGACGCUGAGGCACGAAAGCGUGGGGAUCAAACAGGAUUAGAAACCCCAGUAGUCC